rnacentral:pre_miRNA from 1 species
UACCUACUCUCUCCGUCCCAAAUUACUUGUCGUAAAAAUGGAUGUAUCUAGAAUUAAAAUAUGUCUAGAUACAUCCAUUUCCGCGACAAGUAAUUUCAGAUGGAGGGAGUAUUAU